UAAUUAGAAUCUAUUGGUUCUUUUGAAAUGUAGAACGUUUCAGAAUUUAGCGAGGAGUGAAACGAUUCUAUCGGAGCGUUAUCUGAA
rnacentral:antisense_RNA from 1 species